rfam:Homo sapiens chromosome 2, GRCh38 reference primary assembly.
GCCAGGCAUGGUGGCGCGUGCCUGUAAUCCCAGCUACUUGGGAGGCUGAGGCAGGAGAAUCGCUUGAACCUGGGAGGCAGAGGCUGCAGUCAGCUGAGAUCGCACCACUGCACUCUGGCCUGGGUGACAGAGUGAGACUCUGUCUCAA